rnacentral:rRNA from 1 species
AUGCCUGAGGAUUUCUUUACUCUGACUGAGAUGAAGGAUGGCAUUUCAACUACGGCAAGAAUAGCAGAGCUGGUUUCUGAGAUCCAAAAGCUGAGAGAUGCUGCUGAUUUUAGUACAUCUGACUUCAUAAGGCAGUGUUCAACAGCUGCAAAAACACUUGGAUCUACCAACAAUGAAGAAUGUCUUCAGCAUUUUGUUCAGCUAAAUGGUAUUGGUUAUCUCAAUCAGUGGCUUCAGGAUGCUCAAAACUGCAGCAAGGAAGUCAGCAGUUCAGCAGAAGGUUUGAUAAAUGCAAUAUUAACUGCAUUGGAGCGGCUGCCAGUUGAUGAUAUACAUAAAGCUCCUUGUGGUUUAAUUCCCACUGUUCAUCAGCUACUUUCUCAUGAAAAUACAGAGAUCAGUCAAAAGGCAAGAUUACUUUGCCAGAAAUGGAGCAGUGCACCAAAUUGUGGGAAAAAUGACCGACAAAUAGAUGCAAAAGAAGCAUAUCAGGCUGCUGAUCUUAAGCCCCCAGAAGCUAGCCAUGAAACGGAAAACAGUAAACACGACGGAGCAAAUGAAGCUGCAACUGCAGAAGCUAAAUCGAACCAUGAUACGUUAACUUCCUCAGGUGUUCCUUUGCAGGAUCUGUCCCUUAUCAAUAAUAACACAGACAUGACAAAGCAGCCUCCAAUGCCAGCAUCCCCAAAUUCCUCAGAUGGGCAUGAGGUUUUAGUGCAGGUGAACUCCUCAGUUUCAUCUCUUGCAUCUCAGGGCGGCCUACCGAAUGCGUCUGUUACCGAGGAGACUUCUUCCUCCAAUGACGUAGGUUUAGUCACCAAUUGCAAGUUGUCAGAUACUCUCAACCUAAAGAGUGACACUGGGCAUGUUACUCAAGUAAUAUGUUCGACCAUAGAUGCCAAGUCUCUUGAGAAUGUCAACUCAGAGAACUCAUUUGACAGUAUCAAAAUUGAUUUGGGGGACCAAAAUGUUUCAAGUAGCUUGGAUAUCAAAAAAGGCAAUUCCUUUGCAGCAGGUCAGUCGUGCUCUGAUAAUAAUGCAACUGAAGCUUUGAACCAUCUUGCAAAUGCAAGCGGUAGUUUGCAAUAUUCGUCGGAGGACAGCAUGGGCAAAGAAGAAGGGCCCACAUCAUCAUCAGGUACAGAUGAUAAAGACACUGGCAGUGAAUUUUGGUUGACGAGAUCUGCGAAGAGCUUUGGGGAUUCCUCAAAGGCAGCAGAGACAAAGUUGAAUGCAGUAAAGGGAGAUAAGUCACCAUCAUCGACAGAGUAUGAUGAUACUGAUGCACUAGAAGUAGCGCGUCUCGUUGCAAUUGAGGUGGAGCGGGAAGUAAUUGACUACAGGGGAGAUUAUUGCAGUUCUCCUGAUAUUAGUUCCGAAAAUGUAGAUAGUCCUCAUGUGGAAGCAAUGCAGCACACUGAACCCCCUGUUCAUGAAUCAAAUGACAAUAAAUCCUCCACUACGGUGGUGGAUUCAGGAAAUUCCUCGUCUCUUAAGGAGGAUGGUGUGGGCAUCACAGAUGACAGCGGUCCUAUUAAUGGUAGAAAGAACACACAGGGUGUGGAUAUGGUAGACUUUGAUCUUAAUGCAAAUCAGUACCAUGAGGAAACCGAUUAUCAUCCAAAGUCCAGUGCUAAUAAUUCUGUAAAUUUAUCAACUCCUAUAGCUGUGGCUGCUUCCAGAGGCUCACUUGUAUUUCCAGCUCGCCUCCAAUUCGAAGGUGCACUGGGGUGGAAAGGCUCUGCUGCAACCAGUGCUUUUCGGCCAGCUUCUGUCCCGCGUACUCCUGACAGAGAGAAGUCAAUGUCAGCCUCUUCACAGAAAACAAGAAAUGUGAUGUUUGACUUGAAUGUAGAUGAAAGUGAAAAUACUAUUGCCGGUGAGUCACUUUCAACAGCCUUCUGGCUUCGUUCUUCUGACAUAGCUCCCAAGGAUAUCUCUGGAGCUGAUGGUGCUAGUACAGGGCUUGAACUUGACCUUAAUAACCCAUGUGAAGAGGAGGAAGCUGCUACCACCUCACUUGAUGUACCAUCAUUCUGGAGUCAUCAACAAUGUCAUGGCAGAUGGAGCCAGCCCUCCUCCUCUUCAUCUUCAAGGCAACCUACUGCAAAGAACUUUGACUUGAAUGACAAUGUAUCCUUCUUUGAUGCCUCUUCCCGAGGCAAGGGGGAGUCCUAUGUCAAGACUUCCACGAACAAUACAUCAGACCAUUCUGAAGUCAUGAUUAUGGGCAAGAGAGUCACACUUGGACAGAAAGAGCACCGCAGCCCAAACCAGUAUAACUUUCUGGGGCCAAGUAUGGAAUCUAGUCUGCCCGUGAGGUCAACGCAGUCAUAUGCACACACGCCUCCUGAUUUCAGUGUUUUCGGCUAUCCUUCUCAGCCUGCUGCCAUGUCUUUGCCUCCUCCUCUCUAUGCACCUGGAGGUGCUCCUUACAUGGUUGAUGCUAGGGGUGCAGCAGUGGUGCCUCCAUUGUCGGGCCUAGGUGUUGGCAUGUCUCAUCCAUCUUUCACCAGCAGAACAAUUCAACCUGUGCCUAGUGAAUUUGGCUACAUGAAUGCAAGCAUGGAUUUCAACUAUGCUCUCUCAUCUGAAGGCACACGAAGGGAAGCUGGCGGCUAUUGGCCUGUGCCAUUCCAAGGUCACACCGUCUUUCUCGAUGAACGUAUGAGAAGUACAUCACAAGGUGGCAGCUCUGGUACUGGGUUGGUAUCAAAACGGAAAGAACCUGACUCAGGUUGGGAUAUCUACCCCCGGCACUGA